AAUCACAAUAAAAUUAAAUAUCAAAACAAAUAGAAAACAGAAAACAGAAACAAAACAAAACAAUUCAAUUAGAUCACAAAAAUUAUAUGUAUUAUCUAAAAUCUAAAAUUAAAUCUAAAAUCUAUUUAGUUUGUAUACCCAACUAAAAGAGUCGCGAGACACGCGUUGGUGCAGCUCCCUGUUUAUGAACGAAAUUUCCAAAAUGAGGCUUAAACCAAACAGGGAUGUUUUACUUUUGUGUCUUGGCUUUCUUUGUUUCAGCCAAAUAUGCUGUGUAAGCCUCGAAAUCGUGCGAAGACAAAAGAGACACGGAGAGGAAAAAACAGAUGAUGUUAGAGUGGGGACAAUUAUGUUCGGCAGAGGAGAUAUUCCUGAUUUUGGCCCUGUGAAAAGUGAAGGAAAUCGACACAUUAGCGAGGACACUGCAGACGAUGGCUUUAACAAUCAAGCCGACGCUGGUGGGUUGGUGGGUGGACAAGAUGUCAUUGAUGACUCCAGUUCUAAGACAGCCUGGGCUAGUAUGCGACCAACUGUGUUAUGUACUAAGGACCUCAUGACGUUCUCGGCACAAGGCCCAGGAUCAUCUUCUCUUCAGCUAGACAGAGCAGGAGGAAAACCCCUUUCGCUAAACCAGCUGCCGCAGGACUGUGGUUACUCUGUGUACAGGACUGAACUGGGCCUUCUGUUUCUCAUCCAAUAUGAUGGUUGUGAUGUUAUAAAUCAGGGUGGCAACCAUUUGCUCCAGAUGUUAUGGCAAAGCAAUCCAGUAACCCUUUGUUGCCCCAUGUCAACCCAAGCCUCACAAUCUCCUAUGGAUCCACCACUUCAGCCUACUGCAGCUCCAACAGCAGCAACUUCAUCCACUGCCUCUAAGCUUCCUCCACAAAAUCAGCAGCAGCAACAGUUGAUGCAGCAGCAACAGUUGAAGCAGUCUUACUUCAUGCACCCAGGAUACUCUAACCCUUUCAUGCCAGUGAAGGAUCCCUCCCAAACUACAGAAGCAACUUCAUCCACUGCCUCUAUGCUUCCUCCACAAAAUCAGCAACAGUUGAUGCAGCAGCAACAGUUGAAGCAGUUGUACUUCAUGCACCCAGGAUACUCUAACCCUUUCAUGCCAGUGAAGGAUCCCUCCCAAACUACUGAAGCUCCAACUACUGCAGCUGCAACUACUACAGAAGCAACUUCAUCCACUGCCUUAAAGCUUCCUCCAGUGAAGGAUCCCUCCCAAACUACUGAAGCUCCAACUACUACAGCUGCAACUACUACAGAAGCAACUUCAUCCACUGCCUCUAAGCUUCCUCCACAAAAUCAGCAGCAGCAACAGUUGAUGAAGCAGCAACAGUUGAUGCAGUCUUUCUUCAUGCACCCAGGAUACUCUAACCCUUUCAUGCCAGUGAAGGAUCCCUCCCAAACUACAGAAGCAACUUCAUCCACUGCCUCUAUGCUUCCUCCACAAAAUCAGCAACAGUUGAUGCAGCAGCAACAGUUGAAGCAGUCUUACUUCAUGCACCCAGGAUACUCUAGCCCUUUCAUGCCAGUGAAGGAUCCCUCCCAAACUACUGAAGCUCCAACUACUGCAGCUGCAACUACUACAGAAGCAACUUCAUCCACUGCCUCUACGCUUCCUCCACAAAAUCAGCAGCAGCAACAGUUGAUGAAGCAGCAACAGUUGAUGCAGUCUUACUUCAUGCACCCAGGAUACUCUAACCCUUUCAUGCCAGUGAAGGAUCCCUCCCAAACUACAGAAGCAACUUCAUCCACUGCCUCUAUGCUUCCUCCACAAAAUCAGCAACAGUUGAUGCAGCAGCAACAGUUGAAGCAGUCUUACUUCAUGCACCCAGGAUACUCUAACCCUUUCAUGCCAGUGAAGGAUCCCUCCCAAACUACUGCAGCUGCAACUAAUACAGCUGCAACUACUACAGAAGCAACUUCAUCAACUGCUUCUAUGCUUCCUCCACAAAAUCAGCAACAGUUGAUGCAGCAGCAACAGUUGAAGCAGUCGUACUUCAUGCACCCAGGAUACUCUAACCCUUUCAUGCCAGUGAAGGAUCCCUCCCAAACUACAGAAGCAACUUCAUCCACUGCCUCUAUGCUUCCUCCACAAAAUCAGCAACAGUUGAUGCAGCAGCAACAGUUGAAGCAGUCUUACUUCAUGCACCCAGGAUACUCUAACCCUUUCAUGCCAGUGAAGGAUCCCUCCCAAACUACUGAAGCUCCAACUACUGCAGCUGCAACUACUACAGAAGCAACUUCAUCCACUGCCUCUAAGCUUCCUCCACAAAAUCAGCAGCAGCAACAGUUGAUGAAGCAGCAACAGUUGAUGCAGUCUUACUUCAUGCACCCAGGAUACUCUAACCCUUUCAUGCCAGUGAAGGAUCCCUCCCAAACUACAGAAGCAACUUCAUCCACUGCCUCUAUGCUUCCUCCACAAAAUCAGCAACAGUUGAUGCAGCAGCAACAGUUGAAGCAGUCUUACUUCAUGCACCCAGGAUACUCUAACCCUUUCAUACCAGUGAAGGAUCCCUCCCAAACUACAGAAGCUCCAACUACUACAGAAGCAACUUCAUCCACUGCCUCAAAGCUUCCUCCAGUGAGGGAUCCCUCCCAAACUACUGCAGCUGCAACUACUACAGAAGCAACUUCAUCCACUGCCUCUAAGCUUCCUCCACAAAAUCAGCAGCAGCAACAGUUGAUGAAGCAGCAACAGUUGAUGCAGUCUUACUUCAUGCACCCAGGAUACUCUAACCCUUUCAUGCCAGUGAAGGAUCCCUCCCAAACUACAGAAGCAACUUCAUCCACUGCCUCUAUGCUUCCUCCACAAAAUCAGCAACAGUUGAUGCAGCAGCAACAGUUGAAGCAGUCUUACUUCAUGCACCCAGGAUACUCUAACCCUUUCAUACCAGUGAAGGAUCCCUCCCAAACUACAGAAGCUCCAACUACUACAGAAGCAACUUCAUCCACUGCCUCAAAGCUUCCUCCAGUGAGGGAUCCCUCCCAAACUACUGCAGCUGCAACUACUACAGAAGCAACUUCAUCCACUGCCUCUAAGCUUCCUCCACAAAAUCAGCAGCAGCAACAGUUGAUGAAGCAGCAACAGUUGAUGCAGUCUUACUUCAUGCACCCAGGAUACUCGAACCCUUUCAUGCCAGUGAAGGAUCCCUCCCAAACUACAGAAGCAACUUCAUCCACUGCCUCUAUGCUUCCUCCACAAAAUCAGCAGCAGCAACAGUUGAUGCAGCAGCAACAGUUGAAGCAGUCUUACUUCAUGCACCCAGGAUAUUCUAACCCUUUCAUGCCAGUGAAGGAUCCCUCCCAAACGACUGAAGCUCCAACUACUGCAGCUGCAACUAAUACAGAAGCAACUUCAUCCACUGCCUCUAAGCUUCCUCCACAAAAUCAGCAGCAGCAACAGUUGAUGAAGCAGCAACAGUUGAUGCAGUCUUUCUUCAUGCACCCAGGAUACUCUAACCCUUUCAUGCCAGUGAAGGAUCCCUCCCAAACUACAGAAGCAACUUCAUCCACUGCCUCUAUGCUUCCUCCACAAAAUCAGCAACAGUUGAUGCAGCAGCAACAGUUGAAGCAGUCUUACUUCAUGCACCCAGGAUACUCUAGCCCUUUCAUGCCAGUGAAGGAUCCCUCCCAAACUACUGAAGCUCCAACUACUGCAGCUGCAACUACUACAGAAGCAACUUCAUCCACUGCCUCUACGCUUCCUCCACAAAAUCAGCAGCAGCAACAGUUGAUGAAGCAGCAACAGUUGAUGCAGUCUUACUUCAUGCACCCAGGAUACUCUAACCCUUUCAUGCCAGUGAAGGAUCCCUCCCAAACUACAGAAGCAACUUCAUCCACUGCCUCUAUGCUUCCUCCACAAAAUCAGCAACAGUUGAUGCAGCAGCAACAGUUGAAGCAGUCUUACUUCAUGCACCCAGGAUACUCUAACCCUUUAAUGCCAGUGAAGGAUCCCUCCCAAACUACUACAGCUGCAACUAAUACAGCUGCAACUACUACAGAAGCAACUUCAUCAACUGCUUCUAUGCUUCCUCCACAAAAUCAGCAACAGUUGAUGCAGCAGCAACAGUUGAAGCAGUCGUACUUCAUGCACCCAGGAUACUCUAACCCUUUCAUGCCAGUGAAGGAUCCCUCCCAAACUACAGAAGCAACUUCAUCCACUGCCUCUAUGCUUCCUCCACAAAAUCAGCAACAGUUGAUGCAGCAGCAACAGUUGAAGCAGUCUUACUUCAUGCACCCAGGAUACUCUAACCCUUUCAUGCCAGUGAAGGAUCCCUCCCAAACUACUGAAGCUCCAACUACUGCAGCUGCAACUACUACAGAAGCAACUUCAUCCACUGCCUCUAAGCUUCCUCCACAAAAUCAGCAGCAGCAACAGUUGAUGAAGCAGCAACAGUUGAUGCAGUCUUACUUCAUGCACCCAGGAUACUCUAACCCUUUCAUGCCAGUGAAGGAUCCCUCCCAAACUACAGAAGCAACUUCAUCCACUGCCUCUAUGCUUCCUCCACAAAAUCAGCAACAGUUGAUGCAGCAGCAACAGUUGAAGCAGUCUUACUUCAUGCACCCAGGAUACUCUAACCCUUUCAUACCAGUGAAGGAUCCCUCCCAAACUACAGAAGCUCCAACUACUACAGAAGCAACUUCAUCCACUGCCUCAAAGCUUCCUCCAGUGAGGGAUCCCUCCCAAACUACUGCAGCUGCAACUACUACAGAAGCAACUUCAUCCACUGCCUCUAAGCUUCCUCCACAAAAUCAGCAGCAGCAACAGUUGAUGAAGCAGCAACAGUUGAUGCAGUCUUACUUCAUGCACCCAGGAUACUCUAACCCUUUCAUGCCAGUGAAGGAUCCCUCCCAAACUACAGAAGCAACUUCAUCCACUGCCUCUAUGCUUCCUCCACAAAAUCAGCAACAGUUGAUGCAGCAGCAACAGUUGAAGCAGUCUUACUUCAUGCACCCAGGAUACUCUAACCCUUUCAUACCAGUGAAGGAUCCCUCCCAAACUACAGAAGCUCCAACUACUACAGAAGCAACUUCAUCCACUGCCUCAAAGCUUCCUCCAGUGAGGGAUCCCUCCCAAACUACUGCAGCUGCAACUACUACAGAAGCAACUUCAUCCACUGCCUCUAAGCUUCCUCCACAAAAUCAGCAGCAGCAACAGUUGAUGAAGCAGCAACAGUUGAUGCAGUCUUACUUCAUGCACCCAGGAUACUCGAACCCUUUCAUGCCAGUGAAGGAUCCCUCCCAAACUACAGAAGCAACUUCAUCCACUGCCUCUAUGCUUCCUCCACAAAAUCAGCAGCAGCAACAGUUGAUGAAGCAGCAACAGUUGAUGCAGUCUUACUUCAUGCGCCCAGGAUACUCUAACCCUUUCAUGCCAGUGAAGGAUCCCUCCCAAACUACUGCAGCUGCAACUAAUACAGCUGCAACUACUACAGAAGCAACUUCAUCAACUGCUUCUAAACUUCCUCCACAAAAUCAACAGCAGGGACAGUUGAUGAAGCAGCAACAGUUGAUGCAGCAGCAACAGUUGAAGCAAUCUUACUUCAUGCACUCAGGAUACUCUAACCCUUUCAUGCCAGUGAAGGAUCCCUCCCAAACUACUGAAGCUCCAACUACUGCAGCUCCAACUACUACAGAAGCAACUUCAUCCACUGCCUGUAAGCUUCCUCUUCAAAAUCAGCAGCAGCAGCAACAGUUGACACUUGAUUUAGCAUCAACAGUUGAAUAACCCCUACUUCAUGCACCCAGGAUACUCUAACCCUUUCAUGCCAGUGAAGGAUCCCUCCCAAACUACUACAGCUCCAACUACUGCAGCUCCAACUACUACAGAACUAACUUCAACCACGGCCAUUCCAUCAGAACUGCCAACAACCAGCUGCCCUGACAAAAUCUGCCUCAACAGCACCUCCACCACAGCAGAGUCUGCAAGAGCAGAUUCCCUACUACAAUGAACCCUUCCAACCCAUUUUUGUCAAGUUCCUUAAUCCCUCUGAUCCUGACCAACCAAAGACCAAAUCUUGGACCCAGGUGUUCUCUCAGAAUUACCCGUUUAUGAACCCUGAGCGCAAGAACGACCCCAAUAAACAUGUUACUCAUUAGUCCA
ensembl:lncRNA